rnacentral:rRNA from 1 species
GAUGAACGCUGGCGGCGUGCCUAAUACAUGCAAGUCGAGCGAACGGACGAGAAGCUUGCUUUUCUGAUGUUAGCGGCGGACGGGUGAGUAACACGUGGAUAACCUACCUAUAAGACUGGGAUAACUUCGGGAAACCGGAGCUAAUACCGGAUAAUAUUUUGAACCGCAUGGUUCAAAAGUGAAAGACGGUCUUGCUGUCACUUAUAGAUGGAUCCGCGCUGCAUUAGCUAGUUGGUAAGGUAACGGCUUACCAAGGCAACGAUGCAUAGCCGACCUGAGAGGGUGAUCGGCCACACUGGAACUGAGACACGGUCCAGACUCCUACGGGAGGCAGCAGUAGGGAAUCUUCCGCAAUGGGCGAAAGCCUGACGGAGCAACGCCGCGUGAGUGAUGAAGGUCUUCGGAUCGUAAAACUCUGUUAUUAGGGAAGAACAUAUGUGUAAGUAACUGUGCACAUCUUGACGGUACCUAAUCAGAAAGCCACAGCUAACUACGUG